CGCCACUGUGGUGGAUUCGGUUCCAAUUCCGUAACCUGUUGAGUAUCCGUUUGUUAUUAAAUAUGGGCCUCGUGCUCAUCCUGGCAACAGGAACGACCAUAAAGAAGCCGUCGAGAGAUAUCGGAAGAGUUUUCUUUUCUGUUUUAUAGCCGUACUACCAUGGAAGUCUUUCGCAGAGAAAUAUGGUAGAUGGGCUAGAAGAGCAUGACAUAUACUGUUGUGUCGAUAUUUUCUCCUCGGACCUUGAAAAUUUAUGGUGGGGACACGCAAACUUCUCAACAGGCCGUACCAAUAUCCGCAGCUGGUCUCCAAGGUGAAGAGUCUCUAGUCGAUAGAAUAAUGUAGGUAAGGGAAGUCGGCAAAUUAGAUCCGUAACUUCGGGAUAAGGAUUGGCUCUGAAGAUUGAGAUAGUCGGGCUUGAUUGGGAAACAAUAACAUGGUUUAUGUGCUCGUUCUGGGUAAAUAGAGUUUCUAGCAUUUAUGUUAGUUACUUGUUCCCCGGAUAGUUUAGUUACGUAGCCAAUUGUGGAACUUUCUUGCUAAAAUUUUUAAGAAUACUAUUUGGGUUAAACCAAUUAGUUCUUAUCAAUUAUAACGAUUAUCAAUUAACAAUCAAUUCAGAACUGGCACGGACUUGGGGAAUCCGACUGUCUAAUUAAAACAAAGCAUUGUGAUGGCCCUAGCGGGUGUUGACACAAUGUGAUUUCUGCCCAGUGCUCUGAAUGUCAAAGUGAAGAAAUUCAAGUAAGCGCGGGUCAACGGCGGGAGUAACUAUGACUCUCUUAAGGACUUAGGACUGUCCUUAUCCCACAGCUCUAUCACAAGUUAGCCCUUGGGAGUGUGGCGAUAGGCGUCCUACGAAAAACUGACAAAUUAAUAAGAUACUAUGUGCGAAGAUGGCUAAAUCUUCCGCUGGAUAUGCCGAUAGCAUUCAUU
rnacentral:ncRNA from 1 species